rnacentral:lncRNA from 1 species
GUGUCUAGUCUUGAGCUUUACUUUUGAUCCUUCUCUCACCGGCUCCCACUCUACGGAUGAGUCAAUUCCACUCAGCUUCGACAAUACCACCUUACGACCCGUGGCACCGAGCAAAAACCGCUCGUUCGAAGCGGUGAGGUAGCUACCGUAGCAACUCUUCAAACGGAUCGCUUCAAAGGAACCACGAACAGGUUCGACGGUCCAUCGAGCUCUUUUAUCGGAACCAUUCCUUUCUUGAGUCACCGACUCCACGUCCUCUUCCGCCAUUAGAUACUUCUCGUGUAUGUUACGCAUCCUAACGGCUUUAGCUUUAUGGAAAAACUCCAUUUGCUGAUACUAUGUUAUUACUAUUUUCUUCUUGUUGGAACUUACGCAAAAUUUGUUUCAUAAAAGUAUAAAACGAAUUGUGAAGUGAAUGCAUUGUUUGGUGUGUACUAGUUAAUAACUAUGUAUUAAUGGAGACCAAUUCCAAAGCGAUACACAAUGAUGUGGACCUUUUCAGUCUUUUAAAAAUUAGUUUAAUAUUCUUACCAAAAUAAUUAGUCGAAUAUUGAAUAGUCAUGUGAUGAAAAAGAGUAUACAAACUAUUUCUUUCCGCGUAAACUAAAUACCUAAAUAGUCAUAUGUUUUCUAAAUUAUAAUUACAUUCUAAAUACCUACGAAUUUAAAGUUGGAAAUCUGUAUUCAUGGAGAAUGAAAAUUCAAAAUUCCAAACUCUCCAAAAUUAAAGCUCGAAGUCGAAACUCUAAAACCUAUAAACUUUAACUACAUUGAUUUGAAGAUGAUUUUUUUUUGAAACACAACUUCAUUUAAUCAUCGGAGUAUUGAGAUUACACCACUCGAUACAAGGCCAAAGCCUCACCGCUUCGAACAAUAAUUUAUACUCCCUCUAUUUUAUAAUAAGUGUGAUUCUAGUUUUUUUUCUUGUUACACAAAAAAUGUCAUUUUACAAUUCCAAUGCAAAUUAUAUUUACUUUCAGCUGAAAAUUAAUUGCAAACUGCAAUAAUUUUAUAAAUAAUUUUAUUUAUUCUAAAUGUUAUUGGUCAGAAAAUAUAAUUAAAUAACAAUCUACAUAUAUUUGCGUUACUUUCAAAGUGACACUUAUUCAAAAACGGAGAGAGUAAGAUUUAUGGUGUGAUUAAAAAACAUUAAACUAUCUUUAAACCAAUGUAAUUAAGGUUUAUGGGCUUUGGAGUUUGAAACUUCAUUUUUGAGAGUUGGAGUUUUGAACUUUCAAUACGUAGGGAUACAGUUUUUGAACUUAAAAUUUAAAAAUAUAUAAGACGCGGUCAUAGUUUGGAAGAUAUUCAAUAUUAUACUAGAGCUUGAUCCGUGCACAUAUGUGUUUAUUUUAAUAGUUGUACAGACAUACAUCCAUAUGGUGUUUAUUUUCGAUUUAUAGUAUAUAAAGUUUAUGAUAGAUCGAGAUUUUUAAUUGUCGGUAAUUUGUUGGUUGUUCAUAUUGUGGUUGGAUACUAAACCAAACAAAAUGAUAUGUUAUAUAACAUAUUCGUAAAUUAGUAAUUUUUAAUUACAUUAAUCAUUUUCUGUGUAUUUCUUUAAAAAUUAAAACACCAAUUAGUAUAUUUAUGUAUAUUAAUAAAUCUAUCUUUCUAGAAUAAAAUAUUUUGUGUCAAAUAAAAUCCAUUCAUGUUUUAAUAAAAUAUACGGAUAUGUCUCUAAUUUUUUUUAUAAGCCAAAUAAUUUUUUUCUAUGUUUAUUUUUGUCGAAAAUAUUAAUUAAAAUUUAACAAUUGCAUUCUUAUCAUUCAAAUAUAUAUAUGUGUGAAUAAUAGUAAUCUUAAAAUUAUUUAACAUAUAUUUUAAAAAUAAAUUUACAUUUUUAAUAAAAUAUGAAUAGUUUUAUUUUGUAUGUGAAAUGAAAUAAUAAUAUACAUGAAUAUAUAAUAUUGAAAGGGAGAUAUUUCAAAUUUACCACAAGUUUGAUAUCACUUUACAACUUUACCCUUAUAUGAUAACUAUUUUCAUAAAUACCUUAAAUUUGUGAUUAAAAUAUUAAAUUAAUUCUCUUAAAUAAUUUAUAGAUGUUUUUAAAAAUAAUCUAUAAAAUAAUUAUAUUUUUAUAAUAAUGUAUAAAAUAUUUAUAAAAGUUUAUAAACCUAAUCCCAACUCUUAAAUACUAGACCUUAAACAAAUAAUCACUAAAUCCUAAAUCUAAAUGUUAUGGUAUUUUUGAUUACUUAUAAUUUUGAAAAUGGUAACUAACUUAGGGUAUUGUAAUCUUUUUUUUUUGUUUAAAAUAUGUAUGUCACAUUUAAAUAAAUCUAUUCAAUUUUACUGUAAAAUUUAAUAGAAAAAAUUCCAGUUAAAUAAUUAUGGUAAGCUUGAUUAGAAAAUAAUGGUAAAUUGGUCAGAAUAUAAUAUAACAAAAUAAAUGAUUUAUACUAAAUUAAUUAAUAAUUAUUAAGCCAGUGACACAUUUAUAAUUAUUAUGAAGAAGUAAAUGUUAUUUUAAAAGAUACUUUAAUUUUAAUAAUAUUGAUGAUAGUUUUUGUAGGGAAAUUGCUCUUUCAUUCGUAACAACUAGGUGUAGAAAAAUCGUGCUUAUUUGACAAGUUUCCACUUUGACUAUAUCUGUUACUUCACGUCAGCAUAUUUGUAUAUCUACAAUUACAUAUCCUUUUACCUUACGUGUUUCCCAUUCUUCCCGGUUACAACUUGUGUAAUCGGCAGAAAGGAGUACUAUUUACAAGGUAUCAAUAUCAAAAAUAUUCAUAAUAAUGUAUAUAAUAAAUGGUUGAGACUAGGGAUAUGCUUUAUUUAUUUUAUUGGAUAUGUUGGCCCUUAAGAAAUAGCUAAAGGUGAGAUUGAUGAGGUGUGAGAUUUUUUUUCUUCCGCAAAUUGGAUUAGAUUAGUAGAAACUGAGAUUGUCUUACAAGAUACACCACCUUAAACAAUAAGAGUUACAGACAAGCUGGUUUGUCCCAAAUCCGCUUUGAUAUCUGAUCUACUUUUGUUCUGAAUUUAGAAUCUGAUCCUUAUUUAGGUUCCAUGUUCAGGCAUCGGUCCACGAUUAACCAAUAAAAUAGAAACGCAAUCAAAUCGGAAUGUUUCAAAAUGAUUUGCGUGCCUCUAGAAAAAUGAAUUCUUAUGUUAAUCUUUCGCACGUAGGAUACAAAUCAAAAUGCUUGCCGUGUAUCCCUCACUCCACUAUGAUUUAACAAAUCGAAAUAAAAAUUUAAGUUGAACAAAAGAUUUCGUUGGGUAAUUGUGUAACUCGUUAGUGGUAAUUUUGUAAUUGGGUAAUUCUGUCCUGGUAAUUGGAUAAUUCUGUCUGAACUAAUUAUUGAGUAAUUUUGUUCGAAUCGGCUCAAAAUUUUAUUUCCAUCGGAAUGAAUUAUUUCGUUUAAAAAAAAAAGAUUUCGUUGUUUAUUAAAAAUAUCAUUGACACGUAUGUAUGUGGUGUAUGGUUGCUCAUGAGGGCUGGGUGAACUGAUUUUGAGCCCAGUUCAUAACUAUAGAACUAUAGAACUAAAUAUAUAUAUUUUUUUGACAAGAACUCUCUUUUUUUUGUUCCUUUUUGUAUUAUUCAUGUCUUAAGCAAUUAGCACAAGCCCUUGUCACUCAAUUAAACUUGUUUAAAGAUCAGCUAAACAAUAUGGGUUUUUAUACUUAACAGUUUUAUGCAGACAUAAUCAAAAAGGUCCUAAAAUACUCUCCACAUUUUCCUUUGUAUUUUAUGCUGUUAUAUCUUUGACAGAAUUUUGUUCAAAUAUAUAUAAUAUUUAUUUAUAUCUGAUGGUCUGUGGACAAAAUCGAUUUCGUGAUAUAAUAACACUCAUUUGUGGAAAUCCCAAGUUUUGAUAAAAAAAUUUACAAUUGUUUUUUCUCUGGCAACUAGUCAUUUAAAAUCGAUUUAUGGGAACUCAUUUGGUGAAUAUUCACAAUGAUAUUUAGUUAGUUGAUUAUAGUGUACAAAUUGGUGACCGUUUAAGGCCACUAGGUCCACAACAAGAAUAUCUGAGGUUAUAAAAGCCAACUCUUCCUUCGGUAUCAAAGCUCAUGUUUCUUCCCAUUCCUCUGCAAGAUUCAAAGCUCAUGUUUCUUCCCUCGGUAUCUUUGUCUGAGGAAAUGCACCUCCGGUGAUGUUGCAGUUGUUCCUCAUUAUCACUCAUAUCUUACGGUUUAAACGCUAUGUUUUAAAUUAGAUUUCUCAGAUUAAGAUGUAACGAAAGUCUAGAACUAGCUUUGUAAUCUCUUUUUAGUGGUAGAAUUAGAUGGUAUAAGAGAUGGUUCAUUCCGAGUCUUGGGAUGAACUCGUUUUCACAGUGGUGAAAAAUGCAACAAUACUCCUGUUUUUUUGUGGGACACGGCAUCGGCGACCGGCGACACCAAAACAUCAAAGAAUUUAAACUGACAGGUCAUCAAUAAUUUAAAAUAGAGAGUCAAAAGAUAACACUAAUUGACGCAAACCACACGUCAAGAUAUGUAUGGGAGACGCUGAAUUUUACAGCGGCAAAGAAACAGGGGAAAGAUCAUUAGCUACCGUCGCUGGCGGGAAGUAUAAAUUGACGCUGCGUCUACAGUUUUCUGUUUUGUUUGUUAAAUUUUAGACGCUCGCUAUGACGAUGCAUCCGGCAAAAGAACAUAGCUAAUGUACUUUAGCUUGCGCUAGAUCCAAGUGAGAGAUCACCUAAUGAGUGUUUCAGGGUGUUGGUAAGAUGUAUUGUUGUAUGUGUGGUAAAAUUGAUGUGGUCAAAAUUUUUGUACCAAUUUAUCUGUGAAUGAAAUAGUUCAUGUUGAGCCAAAAAUAAAAAAAACAACUCUUCCUUUCACCUUAUGCUCACAGUAAAAGAGCAACUCUACUCAAAACUAUGUGCUCCUUUCUAGAGACUCCGGUGAACCCACUGGAAAUCUGUAGGAUCUAGCCAAAACUAACAAACCCACAAUAGGCUGUGUCAAAGAGUUGAGUUUCCCAUAAAAUGGGUGUUGGUGAAUUAGAAUACUGCUGGACAGAUCUGCAAUAAUGGGCCAAGCCCAUUCAAGAGAUCCUUUCCAUCUCGAGCAAACAUGAUCCGUCAGCUUGGUAGUGGAUCUGAGCCGUCUUACGGCAAUAAUAUUUUAAAAAGUUAUUUUAGUUUAGUUGUUAGUGUCUCUUUAAAAGGAUAUCCCGAUACGGAUUUAAGUUUCGAAAUAAACAUUUUUUUGAAAAAAAUUAUAUAUAUAUAUAUAUAUAUAUAUAAAAGACUUCAUCUAAUCUUGUUAGUUGUUGAUUAACUUCUGUUAGAAUCAAUGUAGAUUUAUGCACAUUUUAAAAAGUUUGAAUAGUUUUUUUUUUAAUUAUAAUUGAGCUGAUGUCGUUUUUGGCACUUACUAUUUGUUCGAGUCUUAUUUGGCACAACUGAAAUUGUUGGGGUCGAAAUUGACAUUUUUCUUUGUAUAUCAAAACGACGUCGUUUAUUUUGUUAACGGUUGACUAAUUUUUGUUAGAGUCAAUAUAGAUUUAUGUACGUUUUAAGAAGUUCAUAUAUUUUUUUUAAUUAUAAUUGAGUUGAGGUCGUAUUUGGCACCAAUCAAUUGUUCAGAUCGUAUUUGGUACGAUCAAAAUUGUUGGGGUCGAAAUUGACACUUUUCCCAGCGAAUGUUCAUAUAUAUACUUAAAUGAUUCGUUUGCAAGAAGUAUAUUAUGUACAAUAAAAUGAAAGAUUAGCACCCACAAUAAUAAUAUAUCAAUAUAUUUUAUAUCUAACACCCUUAUCUAAUGGAACCGAGGACCAAUCUUUAACCUUUUGGUCAACACCAUAUCUCAAUUUGAGCUAAUACUUUGACCACUUUUGCAUGACACACACAGCAUGCCGUUUAUGGGAUUGCGUCUGUACACGCAACAACAAUAUCCAUGCUAGUCUCUUCCCUCAGCGUCUGCAUCAACUGUUCCACCCUUCAGAUUUCGGCGGCGAGUUAGCCAACUAGUCAACACAAAUCAAGAAAAUGUGUUGAAACUUCAUACAGUAUUUAGUUAAUAUAUAUUUAUAUAUAUAGUAAAUAAAUAUUGGGCACAUUAUCUGAAUAUUUAUCUGAAUAUAAAUAUUGGGCAAAAUAAGUUUGGAGAUAUUCGAAAUAUUAUCAAUUAUUGGUGGAUAUCUGAUCAGUCUCGUUAUUAUUUUUAUUUUUUCAACUUCUGACUGAAAACAAAUAACAAUUCGGGUAGAUAAGUUGUCUAGUCCUAAAUAACAAUACCAACCCCUUCCUCCGAUUUUCCUGAAGUGGUCUUAGACAUCGGAGGUCUUCGACAGCCUCAUAUGUUGCGGAGUAGUAAUAUCGGAGCUGGAGCCGGAGACGUCAUUUCAACCAAGAUCUCCACGACAUCAACAUCCCACAAGAACGAGUCCGAACUAUGAUGAGAGCCAUGAGUGACUGAGUUACGCCACGGAGGAAGCCCACCAUUGCCUCGGAGGAAGCGACCGUGUCUAGUCUUGAGCUUUACUUUUGACCCUUCUUUCACCGGCUCCCACUCUACGGACGAGUCAAGUCCACUCGGUUUCGACAAAACCACUUUACGCCCCGUGGCACCGAGCAAGAACCGCUCUUUCGAUGCGGUGAGAUAGCUACCGUAGCAACUCCUCAAACGGAUCACUUCAAAGGAACCACGAACUGGUUCGACGAUCCAUCGAGCUCUCUUGUCGGAACCAUUCCUUUCUUGAGCCACCGUCUCCUCGUCCUCGUCCGCCAUAAGAUACUUCUCGUGGAC